rnacentral:rRNA from 1 species
GACGAACGCUGGCGGCGUGCUUAACACAUGCAAGUCGAACGAAGUGGCGAACGGGUGAGUAACGCGUAAUCAACCUGCCCUUCAGAGGGGGACAACAGUUGGAAACGACUGCUAAUACCGCAUACUGAAGGAGGGGAUUGCGUCUGAUUGGCUAGUUGGAGGGGUAACGGCCCACCAAGGCGAUGAUCAGUAGCCGGGCUGAGAGGAUGAACGGGCACAUUGGGAAUGGGACACGGGCCAGACUCCUUCGGGAGGCAGCAGUGGGGAAUCUUCCGAAAUGGACGAAAGUCUGACGGAGCAACGCCGCGUGAGUGAGGACGGCCUUCGGGUUGUAAAGCUCUGUUAAUCGGGACGCGGUACCGGAAUAGAAAGCCACGGCUAACUACGUGCCAGCAGCCGCGGUAAUAC